GUCCCCCACGCCUUGCGUCUGCAGGUCAGCCGUCCGCCAUGUCUCUCUCAUGGGCCCUUGGGCUUCACUGAGGCGUUUUGAAACUUUGGCGUUCCGUCUCGUCGUCUCGCUGGACCAGUUUCAAGAGAAAAGGAAACAAUGGAAAACAAAACGGGCCAUUGUGCUGGCGGCUGCCUGAACUCAAGGAAGAGUGGACCAAAUUGAGGCCCCAGUGAGGGAGAAAGGGUCUCUUGUUGGGUGAACAUUUUGGACUUGAAGGAGGCCUUUCCUGCACACCUUUGAGUUUUGAAUCCCAAGUCUGCUUUCGAGUGGAAAGGUGGAGGUAAAGGAGUUAGACCACAGUACUGCUGGACAGCACUUCCUCAGGUCCUUACGAGUUCUUCACUGGAGUAGUCCUGGCCAGACCCGGGGACCUUGAACCCUUAAACCUGCUCCAGGAUGCAGAUGAUGCCUGGGCACCAGUGAGACAGAGGACAUCUGAGACCAGGCUCUGAGGACUCAGCUCGUGGUCCUGCUGCGACGAGCUCAGCAGAUGGCCCCACCCCUGCUGUUCCGUCUCACCAGCUUCCUGCUGUGGCCCCACCUGCUCCUGAGGGUCGCCUCCAGAGCGGGCGGUGAGCCUGACCUUGCCCCCAUGGGAAAGUCCAUGGCAGGAAUGAAUCCCUCUUACCUGACUCUCCUCCUGUCCUGACAAGCGUUGGGGGUAGACAGCGACGGGGUCUGAGGAUGGGGGGCUGCCGCAUGUGUCCCUCUGUGAAGUGACUUCACAGAGGAGAGUGUGGGGCCGGGAUUUGCUGGACUGGGGCCAUGCUUGUCUUGGUUCUCACUUGUGGUAACCAUUAAAAAAUAUAGUAAACC